UGAGAGAAGUGUUUCUUGGCCCUGCCAUUU
rnacentral:piRNA from 1 species